rnacentral:rRNA from 1 species
CCUACGGGAGGCAGCAGUGGGGAAUAUUGCACAAUGGGGGAAACCCUGAUGCAGCAACGCCGCGUGAAGGAAGACGGUUCUCGGAUUGUAAACUUCUAUCAAUAGGGAAGAAAGAAAUGACGGUACCUAAAUUAGAAGCCUCCGCUAACUACGUGCCAGCAGGCGUUGUAAUACGUAGGGGGCAAGCGUUAUCCGGAAUUACUGGGUGUAAAGGGAGAGUAGGCGGCAAGGUAAGCGAUAUGUGAAAGCCUUAAGCUUAACUUAAGGAUGGCAUAACGAACUAUCUAGCUAGAGUACCGGAGAGGAAAGCGGAAUUCCUAGUGUAGCGGUGAAAUGCGUAGAUAUUAGGAAGAACACCAGUGGCGAAGGCAGCUUUCUGGACUGAAACUGACGCUGAGGCUCGAAAGCGUGGGGAGCGAACAGGAUUAGAUACCCCGGUAGUC